rnacentral:tRNA from 1 species
GGAGCCAUAGCUCAGUUGGUUAGAGCGCCGGCCUGUCACGCCGGAGGUCGCGAGUUCAAGUCUCGUUGGCUCCGCCA